GGGAGAUGGAGGUACCCACAUAGGGCUGAAUCUCAUGAUCCUGAGAUUAUGACCUAAGCCAAAAUCAAGAGUCAGGGGGUGACUGGGUGGCUCAGUGGGUUGAGCCACUGCCUUCGGCUCAGGUCAUGAUCUCAGGGUCCUGAAAUCGAGUCCCAUGUCUGGCUCUCUGCUCAGCAGGGAGCCUGCUUCCUCCUCUCUCUCUCUGCCUACUUGUGAUCUCUCUGUCAAAUAAAUAAAUAAAAUAUUUAAAAAAAAAAUCAAGAGUCAGGUACCUAGCCAACUGAGCCACCCAGGCAUCCUGAAUGAUAAAGUUCUUUUUUAAAAAAGCUGCACAAUAGAAAUCUGUUAGAGCUAUUACUAAAAAAAGCCAUUAACCCAUGAAGAAAUGCUUGCAAAUAAAUGCAAGUAAUUAAUGUAAAUUAAAAACCCAAUCCCAGUUUUAAAGAAAAAAUUGCUAAAAGUAAAGAUACAGGAAUAACUUUCCUUCCCACCCCUCCAUUUUAUUGAGAUAUGACUGAUAUAUAACAUUGUAUUAAUUUAAGGUAUACAACACAACGAUUUGUUAUAUGUAUAUAUUCCAAAAUGAUUAUCACAGUAAGUUUAGUUAACAUCCAUCAACUUAGUUACAAAAUGUUUUUUCUUGUGAUUAGAACUUCUAAGAUCUACUCUCUUAGCAACUUUCAAAUAUACAAUACAGUGUUGUUAACUAUAGUCACCAUGCUGUACAGGAUAUCCCCAGAACUUAUAUUAUGACUGGAAGUUUGUACCUUUUGACCACCUUCACUCAUUACCUGGCCUCCAUCCCCAACUCAUUCUCUGCAUUCUCUGCCUCUAGCAAACCAGCAAUCUGUUUUCUGUUUCUAUGGGUUCCCUUAUCUUAGAUUCCCCAUAUAAGUGAGAUCAUACAGUAUGUCUUUUUCUGUAUGACUUAUUUCACUAGGAAUAUCAUUCUUAUUAAAAAGGUUAUAUUAGGGGUGCCUGGGUGGCUCAGUGGGUUAAAUCCUCUGCUUUCGGCUCAGGUCAUGAUCCCAGGGUCCUGGGAUCGAGCCCCGCAUCGGGCUCUCUGCUCUGCAGGGAGCCUGCUUCCUCCUCUCUCUCUCUCUGCCUCUCUGCCUACUUGUGAUCUGUCAAAUAAAUAAAUAAAAUCUUAAAAAAAUAAAUAAAUAAAAGAAAAGAAAAGAAAGGUUUUGUCCUUUAUUUAACAUUUGGUGGAAAAAGUGUAAAGUAUAUACAGUUCACUUAAUCACUGAAUAUCUUUGCCUAUACAUCUCUUAUUUAAUACUUUAGCCACCGAUAAUCUGUAUAAACAACCACAAAUACUUACACCUUGAAGAUUUAUCUGUUCUUCCAGAAGAAAGUAUCACAAGUACAAAGUUUCAUUUCUGCAUGAUCUCUGGUUCUGGCACUCUAGAAAUGUUUAAAGUCAUUUUGGAUAUGGCAUUUACUGUCACUGUGGAUCCAGCUGUAUUGAGUUAUCACUUCUUGAAAGGAAUAAAUUUUGAGAAGGAGUAUGAGGAAAGAAUAGAUUUUACAAAAUGUUAACAAUGAAUCUCACAACUGACCUUUGACUUGUUGGGGUUUUAAGUAUACUGUUAAAGAUUUGUAAUGCACAGUUAAUGGAAGUAUCAGAGAGAGAGAAACUGUGAGCUCAUUAAACAAGAGUGUCAGUACAGGUUUUGUCUUUAUCAUGUGAACCUAAAGGAACAAGUUAUAGUUGAAGUUCAAAUGGGAGAGCCUACCAUUCUUGUCCCAUAACUUGUUGUUGCCAUUUAUUACUGUGUUAAGCUACAUCUUCCUAAGUCUUAAGCUUUUGAGUAGGUAUAUAGUAAACACUUCUGUUUCAUGAUCAAACUACAUUCAGAGACCAUGGAUUCUGAGAACUGAUCUGUUUUCUUCUUUUUCUGUGACUGUAUCCACUUCCUCAUCUUGACCUGGAAAACUUACAAAAAUAAGCGUUUUGUGGCUUAUCCAGGCUUAAUAUCGAAAAUAUGACUUAUUUUUAGUGGGAAAAAUCAGUUCCAGUGAAAUGUGGAGUUUUUUUUUCUAAUUUGUUUUAAAUAAACAUUAUGCCCAGAUGGGUUCCCUGGUGAAUCCUACCAAACAUUUAAGGCAGAAAUUACACCAAUUCUCCAUAAUCUCACACUGAAAAUAGAAGCAGAGAGAAUACUUCCUAACUGAUUCUGUGAGGUCAGAAUUACCCUGAUACCAAAAUCAAAGACAUUAUUAGAAAAGAAAAUUACAAACAGAUUCUCAUGAAUAUAGAUAUAAAAAUACUUAACAAAAUAUUAGUAACCCAAAUCAAAUAAUGUAUAAAGAGAAUUAUCUGCCAUGACCAAAUGGGAUUUAUCCCAGACAUGCAAGGUUGGUUCAACAUUUGAAAAUCAGUUAUGUGGGGCGGCUGGGUGGCUCAGUGGGUUGGGGCGCUGCCUUCAGCUCAGGUCAUGAUCUCAGGGUCCUGGGAUGGAGCCCCACAUCGAGCUCUCUGCUCAGCAGGGAGUCUGCUUCCC
ensembl:lincRNA